CACUGUUUACCUCUCAUUGUGUAGGAGGCUGACAGCCCACCAGGCUACCUCCCAGGGAAGAGCUGCCAGGGCAUCCCCACAGGGUGCAAGGAGGAAGCCACAGCCUCCCCACAGGGUCUCCCAGGCUGAGCCUGGGCUACAGCACAAAGGAGAGGAAGAACAGCUUCAAAUCAGAACCUAGAAGAAGCUGAGGCUGGAUUUCCUUUGAGACCCAAAGACCUAACAGCAACUCAAGACAAUGACCUUUGUGCUCACCACCAGGACAGCAUAAGGCCUCCGAUGGCAGACCCUAGCCCCACCCCAACAGAGAGGGAAUGGCAUAAAAUUCUGAUACUACAUCUCCUCAGGAUAAAAGACAGCAUCCUGCAAAGCCCCUGGACCCUCCUCUUCACCCCAGAGGCCUAUGGCCAAUCAGCAAAGUAAUUUUAGAAAGCAGGACAUGCCACGCAAGCAGCCAAAAAGAUGCACUCUGGAAAAGACUAGGAAACCUUGGGAAACUGCCCUUAACACACAGGGCUGCAAGCAGGAGUCCCUUCUGGGUCCCCACAGGCUGCUAUGAGGGGCCGCCUCCUCCACCACACCAUUCAGAGACAAAAAUGGCAACUGAUGAAUAAGCACAAGGAAAUCCAGAAUGUGAAGCCACUGGAAGGAGCAGGCAAGAUCUCCAUGAUGGGAUGGAGAGGACCAGUGCAUGGUGUCUCCAGGGCCCAGGUCCCCACCUACCCCACCACCCGCCAUUCAGUAUUCCCGGACCAUGGAGGGGUGUGGGGAGAGACAUGGGGACCACAAUGAAUAGUGGACAAACCAGAUGUGGCCAGUGGAGGGAAUGAGGCCAACAGGCAGUAAGGCAGGGAAGCAGACAGCAGAAUGUAAACUAAGACAACAGACUGCUAAGUAGCCAGAUUGUCCAUCACUUGUUACAAGGGCAACUAU